UCGCCCAUUUUUUUCAACCUCAUUUGUAUCGUCCGGUCAGGGCUGGGAGCAGUGGGGAGGCGGCCGGCGAUCCCCGGGCGAUUCGUCUACGCUGUUGGCCAUCUCUUCGUCCGUGCCACCGGCCAUCUCUCCAUCCACCACCACUGCAGCAGAGCUCUCCCCCUCCUCGAGUUGACCCGAAUUCGGGUGGGGGUGUUGUUCCAGCCAUCGAGUUCAAGUGGACGCAACUCCUUUUGUUUUGUGCGAAAUUGCCCAAAAUAGGUUAAAAUUCUGUAGUAGUUUAAGUAAAAUAUUGGGCACAUAUAUGUUCAAAUAGAUUCUGUUGCAUAUAUUGCAUGUUUUCAAUAUGUGAAAUGGGUGUAAAUUUUGAAUAUAUAGUGAGCUAGCUGUUCCCUUCAUCCAAAUUUGAAAAUGUAACAUAUAUACAACUGGUGUCAUUGGGCCAUUUUUGCAGUUAAAGUUUGGUCCAUAGAGCUGCUAA